UACGUAGGUGACCAGCGUUGUCCGGAUUUACUGGGCGUAAAGGGUGCGCAGGCGGCGGUUCGCGUGGAUAGAUGAAAUCUCCUGGCUUACCUGGGAGGAUGGUAUCCAGACGGGAUCGCUUGAGGGUCGGAGAGGGGCGUGGAAUUCCGGGUGGAGCGGUGAAAUGCGUAGAGAUCCGGAGGAACACCGACGGCGUAGGCAGCGCCCUGGGCUAAGACUGACGCUGAGGCACGAAAGCGUGGGGAGCAAACAGG
rnacentral:rRNA from 1 species